ACCUCUAGGAAGGCAGAUCACCUAAGCUGAAGGAGGGAGAGGGCUCACCUACCAUAUGGAUAGAGUGGAUCCGGCUCAGCAAGGAUACUGUAAACAAUGGCUGCAUCUGCCACUGAGGCACACUGGGAUCCCAUCCAGAUAAGACAGGGUACAUUUAUUCCUGUAACGAGCAGUGGAGGCCUCAGCCAUCUGAGCAAAGGAAAAAACAAAAUUAGUUGAACUGAAGAUAAUUACCGGUAUCAGAGAAGAAACUACAAAUGGUCUUGUCAGGCUGCUGCCAAGCCAAACUGCACAUCUGCAAACAGACUUGAAGGGAGGAACAUGCUGACUAGCCAGCCACUAAGCACUUCUGCUCUGACAGUGCAACCAUAGCCAUGGUGAGGCAAAGACUGGCAGAAUUUGGUCUCUCCCCACCACACAGACUCCAUGAAAUUUGUAGAAACUUCAUGUUGGUUGUCACUGCUAACAACUUACCAGUUACAGGAAGGAUAGCACUGUUUCUUUUGAAAAGCAGCAGCGUGUGGGAAAAGAGUUUCAAAUACAGACUAUUGACAAUGAGUUUUCCACCGCUACAACAGCAUCAACACAUGUGAUGUGUUCUACUCCACUCCUACAUGCCACCUACUGACCUUGCAUCUAUCAGAUGUUUGAUAACUUCCAAAGUGCUUUCAACCUCAGACUUGUCCUUUGUAGAU